AUUUUGAGUAGAUUUUUGUGUACAGUGUAAGAUGUGGAUUUUCCAGGGUUGCCAGCCCCUUAAAGUUCCUCCUAAUGAGUUCCUUCUUUCUGUUUGGUACAGGCUAUUUUCAAAAUGAUCACUCCCGAGGACGUGAAGCUCCUUCCAGAUGAUGAAAACACACCAGAAAAGCGAGCUGAGAAGAUCUGGAAGUACUUCGGAAAGAAUGAUGACGAUAAACUUACGGAGAAAGAAUUCAUUGAGGGAACACUGGCCAAUAAGGAAAUUCUGCGACUGAUCCAGUUUGAGCCUCAAAAAGUGAAGGAAAAGAUGAAGAACGCCUGAUGCCAACUGUUCAGCUGUCCUCCCUCCACCUACCACUCACGUAACACCCGUGAGCACCUGCACACACACACACACACGCACACACACACACACACACAACACAUGCACACAUCUACCCCAGGGCCAAGAGAAAGGCCUGCACACAAGCCCACAGCACAGCUCCCUGCCAAACUGAAGCAUCUGUAGUGACCCACUGGUUCCUUCUUCCUGGGUCUUCAGCAUUGCCUCCCAUCAUGCCCGGUCCCCCCCCUCCCUCUGCCCACCAGCCCAUGGCCCUGUGCUAAUCCCAGGAUUAGGCCAUAGGAGUCCUAAGUGUCACCCUGCUGUAAGCUCCUUUGUGGAGUGCUGGGUAAGCAGUUUCCAAUAAACGCAAGCUGAGCUGGG
rnacentral:sRNA from 1 species